rfam:Pseudogymnoascus sp. 23342-1-I1 unplaced genomic scaffold scaffold_85, whole genome shotgun sequence.
GCUCCAAUGGCGCAAUGGUAGCGCGCAAGACUUCUACUAUAGGCACUAAUUAUAGUCUCUCUGUUCAUCUUGAGGUUGAGGGUUCGAGCCCCUCUUGGAGUG